UUCUCAGAACUUAUACUUUAGAACGCUUGUAAGUAAGUAGUUUCCUCUCUUUGAAAUGUAUAUAAAGCCUUUUGAAAACUAGAUGGGCCUUUUCUCAGCUUGAUGACCCAUGAAUACUUUUCUCAAAGGCCUGGAGCCAUCUCUUUGAAAUGUAAACAUCAAGGAAAAUAGCACUUCAAUCUGCCAGUUUCUGUGAGAGUGUAGGAGCCUUGCUGCAAGUUGCAAAACUACCUCCAGUCAUAAAGAUACGAGAAGUUUGUUUCUCUACUAGAUACAGCUGAUAAGCUAACACUGACAGCACUCCAUUUACCAUGUGAGUCAAGGAUGAACUAUGUGUGACAAAUGGUGCUGUCAAGACCCCUUACUUGAGUACUAGUAAUUGUCUUGAGGACAUGUAUGUAAUGGGUUCUAUCUGCUUGGUCUUACUAAGGGGUGGAUUUUUUUGUUUGUGUGUGUUUAUCUGUCUUUGAAAUCUCUGCCAGUGGUGUGAUUCACAUUCCGAUCUUUACUCACUAACACACCUGUUUUCUGUCUCCACUACCUCGUGGAGAGGUUUUCUGGUGUAGGAGAAGAUUUUGUUUUUAAUGCUGUUUCCCCAGAAGGUGCAAAUAAUUCUUCAGGCAGGUUUCCCAGGGUCAGUAGUGAGCCUGACCCAGGGGUAGAGCCCCAAGGGCUCAGUCUGUGAGGCUUCCCUUGGACCACAGGGCCACAUACUCUGACCUGCUCUGCUCCUGCUAAUCUGGGCACCAGGGCACCUGUUAGUGAAAGCAGGGCCAGCACUAGCCUGGCUGACUUUCCUGACAGCUGCCUCCAGUGUAGGCUCUGACAGCAUAUCCCAGCCUCCAGUUUCCCUGGCUCAGUGGGCACCUUCCUCAUCUCUGCAGGAGCUGCUUCGUGGCAACUCUGUGAUUUGGAUUGUGAAGGAAAUGCUUCUUGAAGAAUGAUGCUGGAGUGGCCGCCUCUUGAGAAUUCAUAGUUGUGAUGAUCCACUAAGUGAUCCAGAGCAGAGUCUUUUCCUUUGCGUGAACUCUACAAAGAUCUGGACCCUGGUAGAAGCAGAGGACCUUCUCAGGGAUUUCAGGCAAAUUUGGAUGGUGGGAUACUCUUCUGUUUCUGGACCUUUUCUUACUGGUAAAUUGGGGAGUUGGAGCCAGAUAUGGUCAGAUUCCUCUACAAUCUUUAAAGACAUCAGUUUAAGGAGUUCCAUAUCACUGCCUGAUGAAAAGGAAGCUCUCAGGGCAAGCUCUGCCUGCAGCUUAUCCACCUCGGCCAUGCCUGGGCAGGUUUGUUAAAUUCAGGGUGAACUUUUAGGGAACUUAUUUGUUUUGGUCAGUAAUAAGCUGCUACUUUGAUCUUUAGUCAUCUGACUCCUGUGCUUGCCUCCCUGUCAGUUCUGAACUCAGAAGGAAGAAUGAUGUUAAGUCCCAUCAACAUAAUGUUAAUAUUAUUUAGAAACAUUGUGGUAAGCACCAGAUGAAAGAGCUAAAUAGUUGAAAGUCAUUGCUUCUGAGGAGGGGAGAAGGCAUAGAAAGUGGGUGGGAGGCAAAGGACUUUUUUUUUACGGAAGCGUGUUAUAUGUGACUCUUUAAGGUAUAUACAUGUCAUGUGUUGCUAAGUACAAAAAUUGAUGUAAAAUAUCAUAUCAAAACAUAUAAAAAUUCAAAGCCCCCUCCUCACACCUGGCCUUACUUCUCUCAGGGAGGAAAUCUAGGAGGCCUUCUUCUCUCCUUGCUCCUCUCGCCCCGACCUAGGUGGUGUCCAGCCCUUGAUGUGUCCUGUGCCCAUCACCACUCUUGCAUGCCCACCACUCUUGCCUUGGUCAUUUCCCUAACUGUCUCUCUGCUGGACCAUUGCAUCAUGUUCUCCAUAAGUCAUCUGUUAUGGAUUGAACUACAUCCCCAGAAAUUCCUGUGCUGAAGGUCCAACCCCCAGUACCUCAGAUGUAACAGUAUUUGGAGACUGAGCCUUUAAGGAGGUAAAGUUAUAUUUGUUGGCUGUAAGGGUUUCACCAGGGGAAGACUGUGUGAGGACAAAGAGAAGACCAUCAUCACAAUCCAUGAAGAUGGGACUCAAAAGCAACAGUCCUGCUGACACCUUUGAUCUCAGACUUCAAACCUCCAGCACUGUGAGAAGAGAAAUUCCUGUUAUUUAAGCUGCCCAGUGUGUGGCACUUUGUUAUGGCAGUCAUGACCAGCUAAUACAUCAUCUCCCUUCCUUCCUUGGCCAUGGUCUGAUUCAUCUUCCAAAACAAUGUGAAAGGAAGCCUCCAGUGAUGCAUAUCUAAUCAUUAUUUCCCUGAUUUUAAAUCCUAAAUGACUUCCUAUCACUGCUAGUUAAAACCUGGUUCCUUAGCAUGAGAUGGAAAGUCCUCUCUUAUCUUCUCUUGCCUGACUCUUCCUUUCUGAAGCCCCAGCCAUAGUGAAGUACUUGUCCUCCUGAAGGUGUCACCUUAAGCUUUACUAUCUCUGCAGGUGCAUCUUUCUUUCCCAGAACACCUUCAUUCUUAUCACUCCUCUUGUCACUAAUUUCAAUCUCAGGUCAAGCCCCAUUUCCUCUAUGGAAGCUUCCCGCCAGACAGAAUUGACCUUUUCUUUCCCUUAUGUUCACUCUGGAUGGUAUAUAGAAUUCAUCCUAUAUUUGUAGCAUUUUUAUUGCCAUUAUUUUAUCUUAUUCACCUAAUCCUUAAAAGCAGAGACUAUGUUGUGAUGAUGUACACUUACACUCAAGACUUAACAUAAUACCUGAAAUAUGCUAGGUGCUCAAAAAAUGUUGACCAAAUAAAUGAAUCUGUGAAGUUGAAAUAAUUAUGUUAGUAUAGCAUACUUCAGGAAGUAAUUCUCCUAUAGUAUAUGCAGAAAUUUUAAGCAAUAUAAUUACAAUGUAAGUAAUUGUUUUUGAACUCUUAAAGAUGAAAUGAUUGCUUAAUGAUGAGUUUGCACAUACACUGAUAACAAGUCAUUUCUGACCCUUAAAAUUCAGUUGGUUCUUCUUAAAACAUGGAAUCAUGAAAAUAUAUUGCUGAGAAAAAUAUUAGAGAUGAUCUGAUCCAAACCUUUCUUUUUAUCAACAAGGAAAUUGAGACACAGACUGCACAUCACCACACAGCCCCGUGCUACCACAGCAGGUCUCUUGAUUCUCUGCCUGAUACUCAUCUGGCCUCUGAUGAAAACAGAAACACUGCACUAGAUUGGUCUGAAGGAAAGGGAAUGUAAAUGAAUUAAGUGAAGGAAAAAUGCCACCCAAUUUACAUUUAUAAAAGUAAUAGACUCAGACUCUUAAAUUGUUUCUAAAUAAAAUAUUGUGAGUGAACUUCAUCCAAUAUUGAUAUAUCCUUUGGCCAUGGGGCAUUUUUGAGUAUUUAUUUGAUAUUGUGAAAUAUUGCAUUUGAAUAAUGUAUAACAAGAUGUUAUCCAAAUUGCCUUUGAAUAAUGUAUAACAAGAAAGCUUUUCUUUA